AGAAACCCAUUGGCAGGAUUUUGACUGUGUUUGCUUUUCUGGCUUUGGAGGUAGGUUAAGGUUAGGUAAAUUUAACCUAAAAAGGUAAAGAAAUCUUGGCUAUAUACUUUGAACAUGUGUUGUCUAUGGUAAUAUUAGUAAAUGUGCAUAUUACUGAGAUUAUAAAGAAGCAUAAAAUCCCUGCUGAGUUGAAGGGAAUCUUCUUUAAGAUUUGCAACUAUGUCAUUUGUAUUUGUGGUAGAUAAUGUUGGGCAAUGGUGGUGACCUUACAUGCCUGCAAAAUGAGGAUACUAAAAUAGGGGCUGAAUUUCACCUAUCGCUCCUCAAUUUAGGGAGUUAUUUUAGUGCUAUCCAUCAACUUCAAUUUGUACCAUAAAGAUCUCACAACUUUAAUUUAAGCCAUAUUAAAGUCCUUGUGAUUGGAUAUUAUAGGUUUUCAGGUUAAUCUACCGACAUGUCAUAACUGCACUAAAAGAGAGGAAAUUACAUAUCCACCCAUCUCUCAUAUUAAAGGCCA
rnacentral:misc_RNA from 1 species